CUAUUGUAGGCGCAAGAAUUUGUAUUAUCAUUUUUUGUUAGUGUUGGUGUUUCAUAGUUUCGUGUUAGGUGUUUAUUUUCUCGUCUUCAUUAGUGUCCUUUGUCAGUUACCAGUUUUGUACUUGUUAUAUUUAUUUGCAUAUCGUAUAUAUAUUGGUUGCGCGUAAUUUAUUUGGUUAGUUGUCUAGUUUGCGAAAAUUAUCGUUACAUAUCUAGCUCUGGGUUUCAUGUUUUCGUCUUUGGUUUGGUCACAUUCGUCUUUUACCGUAUUCAACAAUGUGUCAAGUUUGUUCUAGUAAAGUUUGAAAUACGA